UACGGGGGGGGGCAAGCGUUGUUCGGAAUUACUGGGCGUAAAGGGCUUGUAGGUGGCCAACUAAGUCAGACGUGAAAUCCCUCGGCUUAACCGGGGAACUGCGUCUGAUACUGGAUGGCUAGAGUGUGGGAGAGGGAUGCGGAAUUCCAGGUGUAGCGGUGAAAUGCGUAGAUAUCUGGAGGAACACCGGUGGCGAAGGCGGCAUCCCUGGACCACGACUGACACUGAAAAGCGAAAGCCAGGGGAGCAAACGGG
rnacentral:rRNA from 1 species